GGAACGCUGGGCGGCAGGACCUAACACAUGCAAGUCGAGCGGAUGACGGGAGCUUGCUCCUUGAUUCAGCGGCGGACGGGUGAGUAAUGCCUAGGAAUCUGCCUGGUAGUGGGGGACAACGUUUCGAAAGGAACGCUAAUACCGCAUACGUCCUACGGGAGAAAGCAGGGGACCUUCGGGCCUUGCGCUAUCAGAUGAGCCUAGGUCGGAUUAGCUAGUUGGUGGGGUAAUGGCUCACCAAGGCGACGAUCCGUAACUGGUCUGAGAGGAUGAUCAGUCACACUGGAACUGAGACACGGUCCAAACUCCUACGGGAGGCAGCAGUGGGGAAUAUUGGACAAUGGGCGAAAGCCUGAUCCAGCCAUGCCGCGUGUGUGAAGAAGGUCUUCGGAUUGUAAAGCACUUUAAGUUGGGAGGAAGGGCAGUAAGCUAAUACCUUGCUGCUUUGACGUUACCGACAGAAUAAGCACCGGCUAACUCUGUGCCAGCAGCCCGCGGUAAUACAGAGGGUGCAAGCGUUAAUCGGAAUUACUGGGCGUAAAGCGCGCGUAGGUGGUUCGUUAAGUUGGAUGUGAAAUCCCCGGGCUCAACCUGGGAACUGCAUCCAAAACUUGCGAGCUAGAGUACGGUAGAUCGGGUGGUUGGAAUUUCCUGUGUAGCGGUGAAAUGCGUAGAUAUAGGAAGGAACACCAGUGGCGAAGGCGACCACCUGGACUGAUACUGACACUGAGGUGCGAAAGCGUGGGGAGCAAACAGGAUUAGAUA
rnacentral:rRNA from 1 species